rnacentral:tRNA from 1 species
GGAGAGGUGACCGAGCGGCCGAAGGUGCACGCCUGGAAAGCGUGUAGGGGGUUUACGCUCCCUCAUGGGUUCGAAUCCCAUCCUCUCCGCCA